rnacentral:rRNA from 1 species
UACGAAGGGUGCAAGCGUUAAUCGGAAUUACUGGGCGUAAAGCGUGCGCAGGCGGUUUUAUAAGCCAGAUGUGAAAUCCCCGGGCUUAACCUGGGAAUGGCAUUUGGGACUGUAAGGCUAGAGUACGGCAGAGGAGACUAGAAUUCCUGGUGUAGCAGUGAAAUGCGUAGAUAUCAGGAGGAAUACCGAUGGCGAAGGCAGGUCUCUGGGUCGAUACUGACGCUCAUGCACGAAAGCGUGGGGAGCAAACAGG